GACGAGGGAUCCUAGCGUUGUUCGGAAUUAUUGGGCGUAAAGCGGGUGUAGGCGGAUCUGUAAGUCAGGUGUGAAAUCCCAGGGCUCAACCCUGGAAGUGCACUUGAUACUGCAGAUCUUGAGUGUGGUAGAGGUUACUGGAAUUCCUGGUGUAGUGGUAAAAUACGUAGAUAUCAGGAGGAAUACCGGAGGCGAAGGCGAGUAACUGGGCCAACACUGACGCUGAGACCCGAAAGCGUGGGGAUCAAACAGG
rnacentral:rRNA from 1 species